CCUGUACUACCUUGUUAUAGUGAUGGAGUAACGGAGAAGGAUAACACUACCUAUUAAUGGAUUUAGGGGUAAAUAGUAACUGGUGAAUAUAGUUAAAUGCGUAUUCUAAUACCGGGAGCUAUGAUGCAUAGGUCUUAGGACUCAAUUGUGUGAUUUCAUACUUCCAAGAAAAGCUUCUAAACGUUUAAAUAACAGGGUACCUGUACCGAGAACGGACACACGUUCCCAAGAUGAGUAUUCUAAGGCGAGCGAGAAAACCAAUGUUAAGGAACUCUGCAAAUUAACCCCGUAAGUUCGCGAAAAGGGGUGCCAACUGUAACAAGUUGGCCACAGUAAAUUGUGAGGGGCAACUGUUUAUCAAAAACACAGCUCUCUGCUAAACCGCAAGGUGAUGUAUAGGGGGUGAAGCCUGCCCAGUGCCCGAAGGUUAAGUGGAUGCGUUAG
rnacentral:rRNA from 2 species